rnacentral:rRNA from 1 species
GACUGCUAGUCGAGCGCUUCAAGCCAAAAAGAGGCGCGGCAUACAGCUCAGUAACACGUGGCUAAUCUGCCCUUGGGAUAGGAAUAACCCCGGGAAACUGGGGCUAAUUCCCAAUAGGCGAAGAACUCUGGAAUGAGUCUUUACCAGAAAAGAUGCUUGCGUUAUGCUCGUAGGCGUCGCCCAAGGAUGAGGCCGCGACCGAUCAGGUUGUUGGUGAGGUAAUGGCUCACCAAGCCUUUUACCGGUGCGGGCCGUGAGAGCGGGAGCCCGGAGAUGGGCACUGAGACAAGGGCCCAGGCCCUACGGGGCGCAGCAGUCGCGAAAACUUUGCAAUAAGCGAAAGCUUGACAGGGCUAUCCCGAGUGCCAUCCGCUGAGGAAGGCUUUUACCCAGUCUAGAACGCUGGGGGAAUAAGGAGAGGGCAAGUCUGGUGUCAGCCGCCGCGGUAAUACCAGCUCUCCGAGUGGUGUGGAUGUUUAUUGGGCCUAAAGCAUCCGUAGCUGGCUAAGUUAGUCCCUUGUUAAAUCCACCGAAUUAAUCGUUGGAUUGCGGGGGAUACUGCUUGGCUAGGGGACGAGAGAGGCAGACGGUAUUUCCGGGGUAGGGGUGAAAUCCUAUAAUCCCGGGAAGACCACCAGUGGCGAAGGCUGUCUGCUAGAACGCGCCCGACGGUGAGGGAUGAAAGCUGGGGGAGCGAACCGGAUUAGAUACCCGGGUAGUCCCAGCUGUAAACGAUGCAGGCUAGGUGUUUGGACGGCCACGUGCCGUUCUAGUGCCGCAGGGAAAGCUGUUAAGUCUGCCGCCUGGGGAGUACGGUCGCAAGACUGAACUUAA